GCGAGCUCUUGGCGAGGAAGCCGAAUGCGGACCCGGAGAAUAGCAGGGAGGGCUUCCUGGAGGAACUCACAGCUGAGACCUGCGGACCAGUAGGAGUUAACCAAGGAGUGUUCCAGGCAGAGAGAACAGCAUGUGCGAAAGCCCAGAGGCUGGAGAGAGCAAAUUAUUUUGAAGGAUUUCAAGACGGCUAGAACAGAGCAUUAGGAGGGAUAAAGCGGCAGCGUGGUAUGGGGUUGUGGGGCAAGAGGGAGUAGGGGGAUGGCUAGAAAUUAGGUAAGCAGAGUACUGUGUCCUGAGAGCAAUGGAAGACCUUGGUAGCCAUUAUGUAUGUGACGUGGUACCUGUCACAUAAAAGUGAGCUGGAGGGGGAGAAAGGAGGGAGGAAGAAAAAAGGAAGGAAAUAAAAUUUGAGCCAACCACAGUCAAGCCUCACGUCAGUUUUCAGCAGCAGCUGCGGCUGGAGCUCUCCAUAACCUGUGGCUCAGCCAGCCUCCUGGGAUACCCAGCCCCACGAGCCCUCUGCCAGGCCAAUGGGCCACAAGGCCUCCCAGGACCAAGUCGGCCAGUGCCCUUCCUUUCUCUGGGCUCCUGGCCAGGCAAGGCAGGGUGGGGCAGAUGGGCCCCAGGGCCCCAGGGCCCCAGCAGUGGACACAAUGUUCUGGUUCAGUGGAAGGACCUUAAACUCCAAGACAAGGACACGGCAGUAAAGGAUGAUGUGGCCGAACCCCCGGUUCCGCGGUGAGCAGACCCCAGGUUCUGGACUCAUCCUGGCGGAGUGGAGGACAUCACUCGCAGGGCUGACUGCUCCGUGAUAUAAAAAAAUGACAAGUCCCGGCUUAAUCUUUCUGAUAACUGUGUUCCGCGCCCCCAUCCAUCUCCACCAAGGGGUUUGGGUGAAGCUGGAAGACAAGAGCAUCCCAGCAUUUAAGAAUGAAAAAUUAAGUGCCCUUUUU
rnacentral:lncRNA from 1 species